GAGGGUAUAGCUCAGUGGUAGAGUGUGUGCUUAGCAUGCAUGAGGUCCUGGGUUUGAUCCCGGUACCGCCA
rnacentral:tRNA from 1 species